UUUGAUGAAGGUUACGGGUGAUGAUGAACUAACUGGCUGGGGAUACGAGAGACUAGUCAUGUCCAUAGUUUUGCUCUUUUGUGGCCCAGUAGCCAAGUAAAUCUCUUGUUUUAUAUACAUAAGUAAAGUGGCAAAGGUCUGGUUGGGAUCUAAAAGCCUUGAAGAUGAUUUGAUUUGAUUUGAUGAAGGUUCCGGGCGAUGAUGAACUAACUGGCUGGGGAUACGAGAGACUAGCCAUGUCCACAGUUUGCUCUUUUGUGGACCAUUAGCCAAAUAAAUCUCUUGUUUUAUAUACACAAGGAAAGUGGCAAAGGUCUGGUUGGGAUCUAAAAGCCUUGAAGAUGAUUUGAUUUGAUUUGAUGAAGGUUCCGGGCGAUGAUGAACUAAUGGGUUGGGGAUACGAGAGACUAACCAUGUACACAGUUUUGCUCGUUUGUGGACCAGUAGCCAAGUAUAUCUUCUCUUGUUUUAUAUAUACGAAGAAAGUGGCAAAGGUCUGGUUGGGAUCUAAAAGCCUUGAGGGAUGAUUUGGAGAGAGCAUGACAGACAUGAAUAUAGAAGAUGCCUUACAACCAUCAGUGGAUUUAGCUCAUUGGUUCAACUGUAAUGCCAGAUUUUUGUAGUGAAGAAAAUGUAUCGGAGUCAAAAGUAUGCAAUAAGUGUUAAGUAAACGGCCACUGUGGGCUUCACUUAACACUUAUCACACACUUUGACUCUGAUACAUUUUCCUCACUACAAAAAUCUGGCAUCUUUUUAUAACAUAUGUAUAAGCAAUUAAACUAACUUAUGAUUCAAGUGAGUAUAAACGUCGAGAUAAAAUUAAGUUCUGAUAGCAAACCAAGGGACGGGUGAGUUCGUAAAUCAUAUACAUACACACAUAUACUGGACUGUUGGUAAUGCUUCAUCAGAAUACCAGGGAAAAAAAAAGGUAGGUUGGUAGGCAUUUUCAGAGUAGGUCUAACUUUGCAAAAAUUGAAAAAAGCAAAGAAAAUGAGUCUGGUUCACAUCUUAGUCUGACAGAUUUAUAUAAUGUCGAAAUUCAGCAUGUUUAAGACACACAAGAAAAGGACUGAGCACAUUCUGGUGUCCUACUGAAGAGGGUUCGAUGAAAUAUAUCAAUAAAAGCAGAAAAUGUCACGAGUCUGGUUCACAUCUUUGUCUGACAGGAUUUAUGUAACGUCUAAAUUCAGCAUGUUUAAGACACACAAGAAAAGGAGUUAGCACAUUCUGGUGUCCUAUUGAAGGGGGUGAAAUAAAUAAAUCAAUAAAAUAACUAAGAGAAAUGGAAUGAACAAUGUUACUUUUGAGAGGCCUGCAAACAAGGAGGCGAGGAAGCCCUUCAAAACACACCCAAAGAGUCUUUAGAGUGAGAUUGAGGUGUGAUCCAUGUUGAGGGAUCUUCAUUCUUCCUCUGCUUUGUAUCAGUAUCAGAAUUUAUGUUUAGUGUGUGUGUAAGUCUAUUGCAGCUUCACUCUUUUUCAACACAAAUGUUUGCUAUGAAUCUGUUACAUGUUUAAUUCUCUCCUCUCUGUUUGCAUAGCACUGUUACCACUCUGCCUUGAUAAUCUUCUGAAAAUGUGGUUCCACUUUUCUGAAGCAACGAUUAUUUUCCACCUUCAGCCGUUGCGAGUUGACCAACAUGAUGGAACAACACCUUCGGCAUUUCUGUAUUUUUAACAUGAGUAUUGCUUUGUAGGCAUUUAUGUCAGUAAUUUAGUCUUGCCGUUGGUUGCCUCUCUUAGUGAAAAAGAAACUUAAGUGAAAAUAUUCCAGCACAGCGAGUUCUUGUGCACGACGCUGACAAUGAAUGGAAUGAAUGGGAAACAGAUUAGUCAGCAGGAGGAAUUACAAUCACACAUGUACCUCACAUUUUCAUUCUCAUUGAUUAUGCAGCAAAUUUUUCAAAGCCAAAGUAUUCUUAACAGCUUAAGGUAGUGAGAAUCACAUUCUUAAGAAGGGUGAUAAUGGUAUACAACAAAGAAGGCAAUAAAUACACCCUAAUAUGCACUCAAAGGAAUACAUGUCGUUGAAUGUUCACUAUAAAAAGAUGUGUUCAGUUAAAUCAUCCCUAACAUAAAUACAGCCUAAUAUGCCCUCAAAGGAAUAUUAUGUCAUUGGAUAUUCACUAUAAAAAGAUGUGUUCAGUUAAAUCAUCCCAAACAUAAAUACACCCUAAUAUGCACUCAAAGGAAUAUUAUGUCAUUGGAUAUUCACUAUAAAAAGAUGUGUUCAGUUAAAUCAUCCCGAACAUAAAUACACCCUAAUAUGCCCUCAAAGGAAUAUUAUGUCGAUGGAUGUUCACUAUAAAAAGAUGUGUUCAGUUAAAUCAUCCCUAACAUAAAUACACCCUAAUAUGCACUCAAAGCAAUAUUAUGUCGUUGAAUGUUCACUAAAACAAGACGUGUUCUGUUAAAUCAUCACUAAGAGCUACUUCUGUCAUGAUUGUAUGCAGUGAUUAACACAAUAAUACCUAAAGACACCCCCGUGGCGUAGCGGUUAGGUCAUCAUUAUCAUCAGUUCGUUUAGCUCCAUUUUCAUUCUUCCUGAGCAGUUGGACGCUUUAUGGCUCUCCUCCAUUCUACUCUGUCUUCUGCCUGAUGUGAUAACGGUUAGAACGCCUUGCUAUAAAUCCGCCGGCCAAGGUUCGAUCCCAGCCCAAGACAGCUGGUGCCUAACUCACCCAGCGGUCCGUCCCCCUGAUCAGGCUGGUCGAUGAAUGGGUGCCUGGGGAAACCUGAGUGAACUGUGGUAACCCGGAUGUGCAGAUGAGCAUGAAGCACCUAGUGGACUCCUACCAAACAUUUACCAGUCCUCUUCAAAAUCAUAAGCAAUGGAAACUAUAACAGGAAACUACACCUAUCAAACCCUCACCUUGGUAUAUCAAUGAUCAACCCUUUAGCCACCAGGUGAAGGAAGAAAAACAUAAUAAUAGAACUAUAUGGUAAAUAUCACAUUGCAUUUGGAAUCGAGAAGCAUAACGCUAUCACAAACUUUUACGCUACAUACAGACCCUAGAAAACUAUCCUGGAAAUACUGGGCGCAUCGCUGGUUAUAAAAUACAUGACCACCUGGGUGAAGCAUUGGGUCGGCCGGCUCCUUGCCCCGGCCCCUCUGGAUGGAAAGGCCAUCUCUAAUACAUAAAUACAAAUCUGCCUUCUACCUAAUGAUAUGCCAAAUACAUGUGCGUGCGUGUGUCUAGGUGAUCCCAUGUGGAGGUGAGGUAAGGUAAGGUAAGGUAUGUAGGUAGGGUAAGGUAAGGUUUGUAAUGUAUGAAGGUAAGGUAAGGUAAGGUUUGUAAGGUAUGUAAGGUAAGGU